rnacentral:rRNA from 1 species
GCGUGGAUGAAGAAGGCCCUAGGGUUGUAAAAUCCUUUCGCUAGGGAUGAUAAUGACAGUACCUAGUAAAGAAGCCCCGGCUAAUUUCGUGCCAGCAGCCGCGGUAAUACGAAAGGGGCUAGCGUUGUUCGGAAUUACUGGGCGUAAAGCGCACGUAGGCGGCCUACCAAGUUAGGGGUGAAAUCCCGGGGCUUAACCCCGGAACUGCCUUUAAAACUGGUAAGCUAGAGGAUGUGAGAGGAGUGUGGAAUUCCGAGUGUAGAGGUGAAAUUCGU